GUCGAGCGGACAGAAGGGAGCUUGCUCCCGGAUGUUAGCGGCGGACGGGUGAGUAACACGUGGGUAACCUGCCUGUAAGACUGGGAUAACUCCGGGAAACCGGAGCUAAUACCGGAUAGUUCCUUGAACCGCAUGGUUCAAGGAUGAAAGACGGUUUCGGCUGUCACUUACAGAUGGACCCGCGGCGCAUUAGCUAGUUGGUGGGGUAAUGGCUCACCAAGGCGACGAUGCGUAGCCGACCUGAGAGGGUGAUCGGCCACACUGGGACUGAGACACGGCCCAGACUCCUACGGGAGGCAGCAGUAGGGAAUCUUCCGCAAUGGACGAAAGUCUGACGGAGCAACGCCGCGUGAGUGAUGAAGGUUUUCGGAUCGUAAAGCUCUGUUGUUAGGGAAGAACAAGUGCGAGAGUAACUGCUCGCACCUUGACGGUACCUAACCAGAAAGCCACGGCUAACUACGUGCCAGCAGCCGCGGUAAUACGUAGGUGGCAAGCGUUGUCCGGAAUUAUUGGGCGUAAAGGGCUCGCAGGCGGUUUCUUAAGUCUGAUGUGAAAGCCCCCGGCUCAACCGGGGAGGGUCAUUGGAAACUGGGAAACUUGAGUGCAGAAGAGGAGAGUGGAAUUCCACGUGUAGCGGUGAAAUGCGUAGAGAUGUGGAGGAACACCAGUGGCGAAGGCGACUCUCUGGU
rnacentral:rRNA from 1 species